rnacentral:rRNA from 1 species
GAGGAAUAUUGGACAAUGGGCGCAAGCCUGAUCCAGCCAUGCCGCGUGCAGGAUGACGGUCCUAUGGAUUGUAAACUGCUUUUAUACAGGAAGAAACACUACUUCGUGAAGUAGCUUGACGGUACUGUAAGAAUAAGGAUCGGCUAACUCCGUGCCAGCAGCCGCGGUAAUUCGGAGGAUCCAAGCGUUAUCCGGAAUCAUUGGGUUUAAAGGGUCCGUAGGCGGUCAGAUAAGUCAGUGGUGAAAGCCCAUCGCUCAACGGUGGAACGGCCAUUGAUACUGUCUGACUUGAAUUAUUAGGAAGUAACUAGAAUAUGUAGUGUAGCGGUGAAAUGCUUAGAGAUUACAUGGAAUACCAAUUGCGAAGGCAGGUUACUACUAAUUGAUUGACGCUGAUGGACGAAAGCGUGGGUAGCGAACAGGAUUAGAU